rnacentral:rRNA from 1 species
GACGAACGCUGGCGGCGUGCCUAACACAUGCAAGUCAGGGAGAAGGAGGUAGCAAUACUUCCGGAAACCGGCGCACGGGUGAGUAACACGUAGGUAACCUACCCUUGAGCGGGGAACAACAUCGAGAAAUCGGUGCUAAUACCGCAUAAUGCAACGAGACCGCAUGGUUUUGUUGUUAAAGAUCCGCAAGGAUCACUUGAGGAUGGACCUGCGCCCGAUUAGCUAGUUGGCGGAGUAAAAGCCCACCAAGGCAACGAUCGGUAGCCGACCUGAGAGGGUGAUCGGCCACACUGGAACUGAGAUACGGUCCAGACUCCUACGGGGAGCAGCAGUGAGGAAUAUUGGUCAAUGGCCGAAAGGACUGAGCCAGCAACGCCGCGUGAGGGACGAA